UACGAAGGGGGCUAGCGUUGCUCGGAAUCACUGGGCGUAAAGCGCACGUAGGCGGCUUUUUAAGUCAGAGGUGAAAUCCUGGAGCUCAACUCCAGAACUGCCUUUGAUACUGAGAGCUUGAGUCCGGGAGAGGUGAGUGGAACUGCGAGUGUAGAGGUGAAAUUCGUAGAUAUUCGCAAGAACACCAGUGGCGAAGGCGGCUCACUGGCCCGGUACUGACGCUGAGGUGCGAAAGCGUGGGGAGCAAACAGG
rnacentral:rRNA from 1 species